rnacentral:rRNA from 1 species
GACGAACGCUGGCGGCGUGCUUAACACAUGCAAGUCGAACGGAAAGGCCCUGCUUUUGUGGGGUGCUCGAGUGGCGAACGGGUGAGUAACACGUGAGUAACCUGCCCUUGACUUUGGGAUAACUUCAGGAAACUGGGGCUAACACCGGAUAGGAGCUCCUGCUGCAUGGUGGGGGUUGGAGAGUUUCGGCGGUUGGGGAUGGACUCGCGGCUUAUCAGCUUGUUGGUGGGGUAGUGGCUUACCAAGGCUUUGACGGGUAGCCGGCCUGAGAGGGUGACCGGCCACAUUGGGACUGAGAUACGGCCCAGACUCCUACGGGAGGCAGCAGUGGGGAAUAUUGCACAAUGGGCGGAAGCCUGAUGCAGCAACGCCGCGUGCGGGAUGACGGCCUUCGGGUUGUAAACCGCUUUCGCCUGUGACGAAGCGUGAGUGACGGUAAUGGGUAAAGAAGCACCGGCUAACUACGUG